CCUACGGGAGGCAGCAGUAGGGAAUCUUCCGCAAUGGACGAAAGUCUGACGGAGCAACGCCGCGUGAGCGAUGAAGGCCUUCGGGUCGUAAAGCUCUGUUGUCAGGGAAGAACAAGUACCGGAGUAACUGCCGGUACCUUGACGGUACCUGACCAGAAAGCCACGGCUAACUACGUGCCAGCAGCCGCGGUAAU
rnacentral:rRNA from 2 species